rnacentral:rRNA from 1 species
AUUUUGGACAAUGGACGCAAGUCUGAUCCAGCCAUUCCGCGUGCAGGAUGAAGGCCCUCGGGUUGUAAACUGCUUUUGUACGGAACGAAAAGCGCCUGGUUAAUACCUGGGCGUCAUGACGGUACCGUAAGAAUAAGCACCGGCUAACUACGUGCCAGCAGCCGCGGUAAUACGUAGGGUGCAAGCGUUAAUCGGAAUUACUGGGCGUAAAGCGUGCGCAGGCGGUUAUGUAAGACAGGUGUGAAAUCCCCGGGCUAAACCUGGGAACUGCAGUCGAAACGGUUCAUCUUGAGUGCCUGAGAGGGUGGGGGAAUUCCUGGUGGAGUAGUGAAAUACGUAGAGAUCAGGAGGAACACCGGAGGCGAAGGCGCCUACCUGGCGGUGCACUGACGCUAAUUGAGCGAAAGCGCGGGGAUCAAACAGG